AGCAAUUUAUUGAUUACUUUUAAUUAUCAUUUCGAAAUAAAAUGGCUUUAUUACGAACGCUUAACUUACAGUGUUUUUUCUAAAAGUUUGGAGCAUCGCUACGCCGCUAUUAAAAUCAUAUGUCAUUGAAAAUGGUCAUUCAUUUUAAAAAGAUAUUUAAAUGAGAAAAUAUGAAAAUCGUAAGCAUUUCAAAACUUUUUGAAUUUUUAAAAUCCAUAAAUGAGCGAAAAAGUUAUUGAAAAUUAAAAAUUCCGAUCCUAUACACAAACGGUGUAAAAACAUUUGUUUUGCCAACCACCAGAUAAACAGGUGUUAAUGCGUGACGUCACGGCGAUCAUUUCAUUUAAUGGCUUUAUUACAAUCCCGAUACGUCAAACAUGUGAUAAAGUAACAUUCCAGUAACUUUCAGUUUCCAAAAAAGGACUUAAUGGCAGAAGUUGAAUUAAUAUGCAAAGAUAGAACCAUUUCUUAGAGUGAAAGUUAACAAUUCCUCGAGAGACUGUUGUGACAGAAUUUUAUCAAGAAACAGUAAUAAUUCAAUGACAUAUUCACUGUUCCAGCGAAAGAGAUCAAGUUUCUUGUAUCCAAGAGUCACAGUGGUGAAAAAAACAGAAAAGGAUUUAUUGCAAGUGUCAAAUGCCAGAUGAUGGGCAACACUUUAUGAUAAUGUGCAGCCUCUGUAACGACUGGUUUCAUCCAGAAUGCCUGGGUAUGGUGAAAGAAUCUGUCGAGCUAAAGAAGGGUAGUAAAUUCUUUUGCACUUUGUGUACAGAAUUUAGAGUUCCAGAGAUUCUAAAGCCUGGUGACGAGGAUGAAAAAUUGGACGCAGGGUUUUUUAUCACAACUGAAGACUUUGUAAACAUAUACCAGUAGUGUUGAGGAGAGUGCAUGACAUAGUUACACACACUGGCAAAAUGAGCAAACAGCCGUGGUUGAGAAGACACCUGCUGUUCAAACAUAAAAAACUAAGCGAAGCAUGGAUUUGGAUUUGCCAUUUUCAGUCAGCCGAUAGUUAUUUCACACAUUCAUCUACAUCUACGGAGAUACUCCCAACAAUCAAUUUCUGGGAGGUCGGGCCAGUGGUUAAAAGCAUGUUGCUAUGUUACAUGAUACAUAAUAUUCAUGUUGUUAAAAGAGUAAGAGCAGUAAUAUAUACAGCUUGUUAAAAAUAAAAACAGGAUGAUGACAUUAGUACAUAUACGAGUCUAGGUCAGAUGUGAAGCACUGAAGGUUCACACUGUCCUUGAUGUUAUAAGGUAAGGCGUUCCAGUAUCUGAUUGUGCGGGGGGAAAAAGAGUUCAUAUGAUAUUGUGUUCUUGAAGAUGAAAUGAUAAAGUUUUAAUUACUAGAGGUUUUCAGGUGGUUUUGAUCUACAGAUACGAGGUUGUGUGAUAUUUUAUACAACAUAAUUAAAGAUGCAUGUAUUCUUCUUUGUUCUUAUGUCUGCCAUUUAAAAGUUUCAAGCAUUGAUGUUACGCUGCUUUGGUAUGAGUAGUCAUUUAUAACAUAUCUGGCUGCAGCUCUUUGUACCUUUUCUAUCUCAUGUGUUAAGUUUUUCUGCCAUGGAUGCCAUAUGGUGUUACAGUAUUCUAAUUGUGGACGAACGAAUGUUUUGUAGGUAGUUUCUUUGAUAUUACGGUUAUUACAUUGUACAUUUCUUUUUAUAAAUCUGAGGGUGUUACUAUAGCUUUUGAAGAUGUAAUUUCAAUAUGUUUUUUUCCAACUAAAGUCAUCACUAAUAGUAAUCCCAAAGAUAUUUAGCAUUUUCUGUGGUUUUUAGUUCUUGAUUAUGUAAUUUAUAUGGAAAGAUGAUAUUUUUUCUUUUUUAGAGAUUCUUAUGAUUUCGCAUUUAUCAGGAUUAAAUUCCAUUGACCAUUUACGUUCCCAUUCUAAUUCUGCUAAAAUCUUGUAAACAUAAUAAAUGUUGAUAUCAAAAGUACCUCUACGCAUGACAGAUAUGUUUUUGUUUUAAAUAUGAUUCUGCCAAAAACCCUAUUGAACUGAUAACGACUAAGAUCUAUAAUUCUAAAUCCCAUAACUUUUAGCCUCAAGCACUACCUUGCAGUAUCAGUUUGAAGAAAAUCAGGGAAAUCGUCCAAAUAAGAAAUUCACUUAACAGACAAUGGUACUGAAAAUGCCAAGGGAUCUUAAUUAUGAGAAAAAAUAAAUAAAUUCAAACCUUUUUGCUCUUGAGUACAGACAUGCAUCCAUGUUCACAAUGAAAGUGAGUUCAGACAUUUGGCGAAAUAAUGAAUGAAUGAAAUUACUAAGUUUAUUAUGAAAUAUAAUUACAUGUAAAGUCCACAUUAGUUAAGCAAAUUUAAAAUAUUUACACAAAAAUCAGAAUAUCAGAGUAAGCGAAUUGGGACAGGACUGGUCAAAUAACUCUGGAAUAAUAGUGAACAUGCGCAAGUGUUACAGUAUUCAAGUAAUUGAAUAAAAUGCUAUCUUUUCUCUAUUAAAUAUAGCAAAGAGAUAGGCUAGCGGCUCAUGUUAGUGAUUAAGGCCAAUAUGUUUGUAUUUUAGGCAACUCUUUUUUUUUGAACACUUCCUGAAGAAUAUGUUCCUAAAAUACAAUCACAGGUAUAUUUUUCUGAAUUAAUAGAUGUGUCAUAGGUGAAUGUGUGGUGCAUUCAAGAUCUUUUAACAAAACGCAUAUAAAACCGGCCAAAAAGUUAAAAAGUUUCAUUUGGUAAGAAGAGCCUAACAUCUCAAAGUAUUUAAUAUCGAAAAAUGGUCAAAAAGAAUUGUAGCCCAGUGACCUCUUUUUAUGUUUUAUUUCUAUAUUUGAAAACAAUCUGAUUAAUGUAGUCGGCAUUUGGUUCUGCUAUAUUCCAGUAUGAUUAGCGUAUUCAGGCCUGACACACAAAAAGGUAUAUUUUGAAUGAAUUGGGUAGUCUUUUGAAUACUUAUAUAAUCAUUAGCAAUCAUGAUCAAAAAAGCACCAUUUUAACGCUGGAAAAGUUUGGAUAACUCAUCGGUAGUUUAGCAGUGCUUACUCUCUUCACGGGUAAACAGCCUCAUAUCAGUGCAAAUCUGCUCUGCUUUAUGCAAGUUUGCUUUAUGAGUACAUGUUUCUUUUUAAUUCAAGGGCUUUAAUGAGACUUUGUUUUUGCUUCAUAGUACACGUACUAAUUAAGCAGUGCUUAAUCGAUAACAUAAAACCACACUGUGCAGAGGAGACAACCAUGUUUUUAAUUCGUAAAGUCACAUGGUUUUUUCCAGGAAUUCCAGAUAAAUUUGAAAAUGGUGGGAAUAAUAUUUGUCAGACGUCAUCUGAAAUAAUAAUCAUGUCGUUGUUUUGCUUUUAUCUUUUCUUCAAAGCGUAGAAAAUGUGUUCUGAAUGAUUGAAAAAGUGAAUGCAACUCUUCGGAACCUGCGCUCAAGCAAGACGCAGUUUGGACAUAAACAAAGAAGACUUAAAGUAUGACAAUAUACUGCGGUAAAGUCAUUGUGUCACAGUCGUAACGUCAAACGUUAGAGCGGCACGCUGAAAAUGAUUACGACACAAAGCAGGCAAAUGUUUGCUUGAUGUCGUCAAUGAUGUAUAUACAUGUAGUAAUCCCAAAUAUCCUGUUAGAAUGGAAAAUACAUAUUUCAAACAAUCUCUUUAAUUAAAUAAUUAUCAGAUGAGCAUUACCAAAUCUCUCGAAAUGCGCCUUCUUGAUAUAAUUUCUUCGCUCCUGAAUUCCAAACAGCGAGGCUAUUCAACGAUAAAGUCAUUUUUUGGGUAACUUAUUUCUUUAACAAUAUUUUCUGUUAUAAAAAGACCUUGAGAAAUAUUUUAUUUUAGUUUAUAUAUAUAUCAAAGAUAUUUAUAGUAGUAUAUUUAAAGAUUAAUAGUCAUUACCACCAUGUUUUGUUUUCCGUUGAAUGUGUUCAUCAGCAUUAUAGACCGAUAAGUAUUAAUCUGCUAUUUAAAUCUGUUAAAUGUUGGCUAGUG